AAGACGAGAAGACCCUGUGGAGUUUUAGACCUAAAAUAAUCAUGUUAAACACCCUAAACUGUUGGAUCAGGACAUCAUAUAUGGACAUUUAUUUAUGUGUCUUGGUGUGGGGCCACCGCGGAAAUAAACACACCCCCCAUGUGGAGGGGGAUACUCUCCCUAAAACUCAGAGCCUCCACUCCAAGAAACAGAAAUUCUGACCUCACUGAUCCGGUACAGCCGAUUAACGAACCCAGUUACCCCAGGGAUAACAGCGCAAUCCCCUCUCAGAGCUCAUAUCGACAAGGGGGUUUACGACCUCGAUGUUGGAUCAGGACAUC
rnacentral:rRNA from 1 species